rnacentral:misc_RNA from 1 species
GAUGAAGAACGUAGCGAAAUGCGAUAAGUAGUGUGAAUUGCAGAAUUCAGUGAAUCAUCGAAUCUUUGAACGCACAUUGCGCCCCUUGGUAUUCCAUGGGGCAUGCCUGUUCGAGCGUCAUUUGUACCUUCAAGCUCUGCUUGGUGUUGGGUGUUUGUCUCGCCUCUGCGUGUAGACUCGCCUCAAAUCCAUUGGCGGCCCUCACGUCGGCUACGAGCGCAGCAGAAACGCGAACUUGUGGACCCGGCGGAGUGGCUCCCAGAAGCUACAUUCACCAUUUUGACCUCGGAUCAGGUAGGGAUACCCGCUGAACUUAAGCAUAUCAAUAAGCGGAGGA